rnacentral:rRNA from 1 species
UACGUAGGGGGCAAGCGUUGUCCGGAAUUAUUGGGCGUAAAGAGCGUGUAGGCGGUCCGGUAAGUCAGCUGUGAAAGUCAAGGGCUCAACCCUUGAAAGCCGGUUGAUACUGUCGGGCUAGAGUCCGGAAGAGGCGAGUGGAAUUCCCGGUGUAGCGGUGAAAUGCGCAGAUAUCAGGAGGAACACCGAUUGCGAAGGCAGCUCGCUGGGACGUAACUGACGCUGAGACGCGAAAGCGUGGGGAGCAAACAGG